rnacentral:rRNA from 1 species
AAUAGAUACCCAGGUAGUCCACGCUGUAAACGAUGGGCACUAGGUGUGGGGGUGUCGACUCCCUCCGUGCCGAAGCUAACGCAUUAAGUGCCCCGCCUGGGGAGUACGGCCGCAAGGCUAAAACUCAAAGGAAUUGACGGGGGCCCGCACAAGCAGCGGAGCAUGUGGUUUAAUUCGACGCAACGCGAAGAACCUUACCUGGGCUUGACAUGUAGGUCAUACCCGUGGAAACACGGGGUCAGUUCGGCUGGACCUUCACAGGUGGUGCAUGGCUGUCGUCAGCUCGUGCCGUGAGAUGUUGGGUUAAGUCCCGCAACGAGCGCAACCCCCGUCGCAUGUUGCCAGCAUUUAGUUGGGGACUCAUGCGAGACUGCCGGUGACAAACCGGAGGAAGGUGGGGAUGACGUCAAGUCAUCAUGCCCCUUAUGU